AGGUAAAAAUAGCAUAAUUGGAAUCACAAUGUGGUGGUGAAUAUAGGAGUCUAGGAUUACAGCAAGAGAAUAAGAAGGUGCUUGAGACUUCAGUAAAUCCAGCAUCUGAGAAGCUGCCAGCUGAGCAAGACAAUGUACCAGAGAGGUAUACCCCUUAUAUCAGAUGCACGAAACUAGAAUUCAAGGUUGACACAUUUUUUGCUGUUGGGUCACCUCUGGGAGUCUUCCUUGCUCUUCGUAAUGUUCGAAAAUGGAUUGGCAAAGGUUAAGAAUAUUGGACGGAGGAGAAUAUUAAUGAAGAAAUGCCUGCCUGUCGGCAAAUGUUUAACAUUUCCACCCUUUUGACCCUGUGGCUUAUAGAAUAGAACCACUUGUGUGUAAAGAAUAUGUUAGCAAACGACCUGUUAUUGUGCCCUACCACAAAGGUGGAAGGAGGUUGUAUAUUGGAUUUCAGGAAUUUUCUGAACAUAUAGCUGCUCGGACACAAGCUCUUAUGGAUCAUCUCUACGAUAUAAGGGUUAAAGUUUUGACUGUUUGCCAAUCGCAAAAUGCUGAUAGAAUAGAAGAUGACACUGAAAGUUCAGACGAAAAAGAGCCAUCUUAUGGUUCUCUUAUGAUGAAGAUACUGACAGGAAGUGUGGAAGAGCGGAUUGAUUAUGUGCUUCAGUUUGCAAACAGCCAUGAAGAGCUACGACAGUGUAUCCAAAUUGGCGAAGAACUCCUCCCAAUUUAACAUAGUGCUGCCAUGGAUAUCUGUGACAGUGUCUUGAGUGCCUUGGCUCCCAACUUGCAUGUAAAGCCUGUUCAAAUAAAUAUAUAUAUAAUUAUUUU